rnacentral:rRNA from 1 species
UACGGAGGGUGCAAGCGAUGUUCGGAAUCACUGGGCGUAACGCGCGUGUAGGCGGCCUCUUAAGUCUGGUGUGAAAGCCCGGGGCUCACCCCCGGAAGGGCCCUGGAUACUGGGAGGCUAGAGUACCGGAGAGGAGGGUGGAAUUCCUGGUGUAGCGGUGAAAUGCGUAGAUAUCAGGAGGAACACCGGUGGCGAAGGCGGCCCUCUGGACGGCUACUGACGCUGAGACGCGAAAGCGUGGGGAGCAAACAGG